rnacentral:sRNA from 1 species
ACUCACCGCGUGGCGCACCCCACCCGCGGGCCGCUGAGUGGAUUUUUCCGUGGCGGGGUGUGAAUAGGUCCCGGGGAAAGAGCUUCUUACCGCUCUCCUCCUGGGAAUCCCUCUUACUGCGGUGCGGGACCCAGUUCCUGCGCAGGCCUGGGUCCCGGCUCCCACAGGGGACUACAUCUCCCCGUCUGCCCACGCAGGAGCUCCCUCCCGAGGCCCCCGGGGCGCCCAGAGCAACCUCAAACCCAUUCCGCGCGCGAAGGGGACAGCGCAGCCAGGGCGAAGGCGAGGGACUCCGUGCCUUCCUGCUUUUUCUCCUUUCUUCCAGCAAAGCCUGGGGCCGAGGCUACUCGCGGAGAAUCGAAAAGAGACACAGCUGUGAUCAGUCCCCAGGAUCCCACGCUUCUCAUCGGCUCCUCCCUGCUGGCCACCUGCUCAGUGCACGGAGACCCACCAGGAACCACCGCCGAGGGCCUCUACUGGACCCUCAACGGGCGCCGCCUGCCCCCUGAGCUCU